UUUAGUUCGUUUUUAUUUUUUAUACGCACAUAAUGCAGUGUCUGUGUAGACAAUCUGUAUUUGGUUCUGCUUACAAAAUACACGGAUAAAAUAAUAUUUCACUGCAUUAUGUGCGUAUAAAAAAUAAAAACGAACUAAA
rnacentral:miRNA from 1 species